rnacentral:lncRNA from 1 species
AUGGCCCGAACCAAGCAGACCGCUAGGAAGUCCACCGGUGGGAGAGCCCCCCCUCCCCCCCUUCCCCCCCCGCCCCCCCGCAAACAGCUGGCCACCAAGGCGGCUCGGAAAAAGCGCGCCCUCUACCGGCGGUGUGAAGAAGCCUCACCGCUACAGGCCAGGAACCGUGGCUCUGAGAGAGAUCCGUCGUUACCAGAAAUUGACUGAGCUGCUCAUCUGGAAGCUGCCAUUCCAGAGAUUGGUGAGGGAGAUCGCCCAGGAUUUCAAAACCGACUUGAGGUUUCAAAGUGCAGCCAUCGGUGCCCUUCAGGAGGCUAGCGAAGCAUACCUGGUGGGGUUGUUUGAAGAUACCAAUCUGUGUGCCAUCCACACCAAGAGAGUCACCAUCAUGCCCAAAGACAUCCAGUUGGCUCGCCGGAUACGGGGGGAGAGAGCUUAA